rnacentral:rRNA from 1 species
UACGUAGGGUGCGAGCGUUGUCCGGAAUUAUUGGGCGUAAAGGGCUCGUAGGCGGUUUGUCGCGUCGGGAGUGAAAACUCAGGGCUUAACCCUGAGCCUGCUUCCGAUACGGGCAGACUAGAGGUAUGCAGGGGAGAAUGGAAUUCCUGGUGUAGCGGUGAAAUGCGCAGAUAUCAGGAGGAACACCGGUGGCGAAGGCGGUUCUCUGGGCAUUACCUGACACUGAGGCACGAAGGCCAGGGGAGCAAACGGG